AUUGAACGCUGGCGGCAUGCUUUACACAUGCAAGUCGAACGGUAACAGGCCGCAAGGUGCUGACGAGUGGCGAACGGGUGAGUAAUGCAUCGGAACGUGCCCAGUCGUGGGGGAUAACUACUCGAAAGAGUAGCUAAUACCGCAUACGAUCUAUGGAUGAAAGCGGGGGACCGUAAGGCCUCGCGCGAUUGGAGCGGCCGAUGUCAGAUUAGGUAGUUGGUGGGGUAAAGGCUCACCAAGCCAACGAUCUGUAGCUGGUCUGAGAGGAUGACCAGCCACACUGGGACUGAGACACGGCCCAGACUCCUACGGGAGGCAGCAGUGGGGAAUUUUGGACAAUGGGCGCAAGCCUGAUCCAGCAAUGCCGCGUGCAGGAAGAAGGCCUUCGGGUUGUAAAAUGCUUUUGUACGGAACGAAACGGCUCUGGUUAAUACCCGGGGCUAAUGACGGUACCGUAAGAAUAAGCACCGGCUAACUACGUG
rnacentral:rRNA from 1 species